GCUGGCGGCGUGCUUAACACAUGCAAGUCGAACGAUGAAACCUAGCUUGCUAGGUGGAUUAGUGGCGCACGGGUGAGUAAUAUAUAGAUAACGUGCCUCUUAGUCUGGGAUAGCCAUUGGAAACGAUGAUUAAUACUGGAUACUCCUUCUCUUUAUAAAGAGAGUCGGGAAAGAAAUACCUUAGGGUAUUUCGCGAAGAGAUCGGUCUAUAUCCCAUCAGGUAGUUGGUAGUGUAAGAGACUACCAAGCCUAUGACGGGUAGCGGGUUUGAGAGGAUGAUCCGCCACACUGGUACUGAGACACGGACCAGACUCCUACGGGAGGCAGCAGUGAGGAAUAUUGCACAAUGGAGGAAACUCUGAUGCAGCAACGCCGCGUGGAGGAUGACGCAUUUCGGUGUGUAAACUCCUUUUAUAUGUCAAGAAAAUGACGGUAGCAUAUGAAUAAGCACCGGCUAACUCCGUGCCAGCAGCCGCGGUAAUACGGAGGGUGCAAGCGUUAUUCGGAAUCACUGGGCGUAAAGGACACGUAGGCGGGAAGCCAAGUCUGAUGUGAAAUCCUACAGCUUAACUGUAGAACUGCAUUGGAAACUGGUUACCUAGAGUAUGGGAGGGGGAGAUGGAAUUAGUGGGGUGUAGGGGGUAAAAUCCGUAGAUAUCACUAGGAAUACCUAAAGCGAARGCGAUCUCCUGGAACAUUACUGACGCUMASGUGUGAAAGCGUGGGGAGCAAACGGGAUUAGAUACCCCGGUAGUCCACGCCCUAAACGAUGUUCACUAGUCGUCGGGAUGCUAGUCAUCUCGGUGAUGCACUUAACAGAUUAAGUGAACCGCCUGGGGAGUACGGUCGCAA
rnacentral:rRNA from 1 species